AGUGAACGCUGGCGGUAGGCCUAACACACGCAAGUCGAACGGCAGCACAGUAAGAGCUUGCUCUUACGGGUGGCGAGUGGCGGACGGGUGAGGAAUACAUCGGAAUCUACUUUUUCGUGGGGGAUAACGUAGGGAAACUUACGCUAAUACCGCAUAUGACCUACGGGUGAAAGCAGGGGAUCUUCGGACCUUGCGCGAUUGAAUGAGCCGAUGUCGGAUUAGCUAGUUGGCGGGGUAAAGGCCCACCAAGGCGACGAUCCGUAGCUGGUCUGAGAGGAUGAUCAGCCACACUGGAACUGAGACACGGUCCAGACUCCUACGGGAGGCAGCAGUGGGGAAUAUUGGACAAUGGGCGCAAGCCUGAUCCAGCCAUACCGCGUGGGUGAAGAAGGCCUUCGGGUUGUAAAGCCCUUUUGUUGGGAAAGAAAAGCAGCAGGUUAAUACCCCGCUGUUCUGACGGUACCCAAAGAAUAAGCACCGGCUAACUUCGUG
rnacentral:rRNA from 1 species